rnacentral:rRNA from 1 species
UAAUACAGAGGUGGCGAACGUUGUUCGGAUUUACUGGGCGUAAAGGGUCCGCAGGCGGCUCGGUGUGUCAGAUGUGAAAGCCCACGGCUUAACCGUGGAAUUGCAUUUGAAACUGCCGGGCUAGAGUACUGGAGGGGAGAAGGGAACACUUGGUGUAGCGGUGAAAUGCGUAGAUAUCAUGAAGAACACCGGUGGCGAAGGCGCCUCUCUGGACUGAUACUGACGCUCAUGGACGAAAGCUAGGGGAGCGAAGAGGAUUAGAUACCCUCGUAGUCCUAGCCGUAAACGGUGUGCACUUGAUGUUGGAGGUUUACCCCCUUCAGUGUCGGAGCUAACGCGUUAAGUGCACCGCCUGGGAAGUACGGCCGCAAGGUUA